rnacentral:lncRNA from 1 species
GAGAAGAGAACUGAAGAAUUGGACCUCAAGUAGAAUGUUGUAUUCACUGUUAACAAGAACAACUCCGAUUCUGGUACAUCAACUUCAAAGGUAUUAAAAUGCAAUAACAAACACCCUUUAAAAUCUGGCCAGAAAGCGAAAACAGGGACCGACCUUAAACUGCAAACUAGAGAGCUUCGACAACAACCUCGCCUUCGAACUCUCACAUGACCAACACAAAUCGAUAAAAAGUAUGAAUACAACCUCAACAUUCCAACAUAAACUUCAAUUAAACUCCAUUAAUCUAAGUAGAAAUUGAAAAAUGAAAAUGGAGAGGAAAGAAAAAUAUUUUUCUGUCUUUAUUUUAUAUAUAUGUAUGUAAGGAAAUUAAACUCCAAAAAUUAGAGAAAAAGAACAGAAAAUCAGAGGAGAAAAGAUAAAAAAUCAAGACUAUAACACUAUCUCUUCCUCCCUUCUUUUUGUGCCGUUCUUCCUCUUUUUCUUCUUCUUCUUCUUCUAUUUCUAUGUGUGCGUGUGUGUAUCUAUGUCGGCGACCGCAGCACUGAGGAGUUGGAGAGGACGAUAGAAGCAACUUGAGGUGGUGGGCGAUGGCGGCUCUAAGGUGAAGAUCGGGUGGGAUCAGUAUUGCCGCAGUUUGUGUGUUCUAGGGUUGAAGAAGAAGGAGCUUCGCUGGUUUUUUGUGGUGAGGGCUUUGGUGGAGUUGGGUGGUCGUUUGGUGAGAGGUGAAGAAGCAGCAGCGGCUGGAAGGGGGUCUUUUUGUCGGUAAAGGGUGAAGAAGAUGAAGGUCUUAGGGUUAGGGUCCACCUUGUAUGUAAGUGUAUGGGUGUUGAAGGGGUCUAGGUUAGGGGAGUAUGGCCUAUGUCCAAAUUGGACUAAAUUUUGGCCAAAU